GAUGAACGCUGGCGGCGUGCCUAAUACAUGCAAGUCGAGCGAACAGACGAGGAGCUUGCUCCUCUGACGUUGCCGGCGGACGGGUGAGUAACACGUGGAUAACCUACCUAUAAGACUGGGAUAACUUCGGGAAACCGGAGCUAAUACCGGAUAAUAUAUUGAACCGCAUGGUUCAAUAGUGAAAGACGGUUUUGCUGUCACUUAUAGAUGGAUCCGCGCCGCAUUAGCUAGUUGGUAAGGUAACGGCUUACCAAGGCGACGAUGCGUAGCCGACCUGAGAGGGUGAUCGGCCACACUGGAACUGAGACACGGUCCAGACUCCUACGGGAGGCAGCAGUAGGGAAUCUUCCGCAAAGGGCGAAAGCCUGACGGAGCAACGCCGCGUGAGUGAUGAAGGUCUUCGGAUCGUAAAACUCUGUUAUUAGGGAAGAACAAAUGUGUAAGUAACUAUGCACGUCUUGACGGUACCUAAUCAGAAAGCCACGGCUAACUACGUG
rnacentral:rRNA from 1 species